rnacentral:tRNA from 1 species
GCCAGCUUAGCUUCAAUUGGUAGAGCACCUCACUUGUAAUGAGGAUGUUAACGGUUCGAGUCCGUUAGCUGGCUCCA